AGAGCACAAUGUCAGGAAUCCAGAUGGAGUCUGAGGGAACUCUGAUGGAGGUGAUGCCCAGAUAAUGAUCCGGAUUCCAUCGGAGCUUCAUGUCUGUCCACUCCUGAAUGCAACUGAAUCAACACCACUGAGAGAGAUCUGGACAUGUAUACUUUGAAGAACGUAUCAUGAGAUGUCCCUCAGUCGGGGAACUGAGCCAAGGUCAGAGACACUCACCUAUAGAGGAGCAGAGGACAGCACAGCAAACUAGCAGGAGGACAGAUCUGACAGCGCUUUGAGCU